rnacentral:rRNA from 1 species
UACGUAGGGGGCAAGCGUUGUCCGGAAUCAUUGGGCGUAAAGAGCGUGUAGGCGGCUUGGCAAGUCUGGUGUGAAAUCUUGCGGCUCAACCGCAAGCGGUCACUGGAAACUGCCUCGCUAGAGUCCGGAAGAGGAGAGCGGAAUUCCUGGUGUAGCGGUGGAAUGCGCAGAUAUCAGGAAGAACACCCGUGGCGAAGGCGGCUCUCUGGGACGGUACUGACGCUGAGGCGCGAAAGCCAGGGGAGCGAACGGG